GGAGUGGUAGUUCAGUUGGUUAGAAUACCGGCCUGUCACGCCGGGGGUCGCGGGUUCGAGUCCCGUCCACU
rnacentral:tRNA from 1 species